rnacentral:rRNA from 1 species
GAUGAACGCUGGCGGCGUGCCUAAUACAUGCAUGUCGAGCGAACGGACGAGAAGCUUGCUUCUCUGAUGUUAGCGGCGGACGGGUGAGUAACACGUGGAUAACCUACCUAUAAGACUGGGAUAACUUCGGGAAACCGGAGCUAAUACCGGAUAAUAUUUUGAACCGCAUGGUUCAAAAGUGAAAGACGGUCUUGCUGUCACUUAUAGAUGGAUCCGCGCUGCAUUAGCUAGUUGGUAAGGUAACGGCUUACCAAGGCAACGAUGCAUAGCCGACCUGAGAGGGUGAUCGGCCACACUGGAACUGAGACACGGUCCAGACUCCUACGGGAGGCAGCAGUAGGGAAUCUUCCGCAAAGGGCGAAAGCCUGACGGAGCAACGCCGCGUGAGUGAUGAAGGUCUUCGGAUCGUAAAACUCUGUUAUUAGGGAAGAACAUAUGUGUAAGUAACUGUGCACAUCUUGACGGUACCUAAUCAGAAAGCCACGGCUAACUACGUG